UACGUAGGGGGCAAGCGUUGUCCGGAUUUAUUGGGCGUAAAGAGCGUGUAGGCGGCCUGACAAGUCUGCUGUGAAAACUCGAGGCUCAACCUCGAGAUGUCGGCGGAAACUGUCUGGCUAGAGUCCGGAAGAGGAGAGUGGAAUUCCUGAUGUAGCGGUGAAAUGCGCAGAUAUCAGGAAGAACACCUAUGGCGAAGGCAGCUCUCUGGGACGGUACUGACGCUGAGACGCGAAAGCGUGGGGAGCGAACAGG
rnacentral:rRNA from 1 species